UCUCGCUUCGUCUAGCGGUAGGACGCCGCAUUUUGGCUGCGGAAACGGUGGUUCGAGCCCACCAGCGAGAUCCA
rnacentral:tRNA from 1 species